UCUUCCCUCUGGCGGCGUGCCUAAUACAUGCAAGUCGAGCGAACAGACGAGGAGCUUGCUCCUCUGACGUUAGCGGCGGACGGGUGAGUAACACGUGGAUAACCUACCUAUAAGACUGGGAUAACUUCGGGAAACCGGAGCUAAUACCGGAUAAUAUAUUGAACCGCAUGGUUCAAUAGUGAAAGACGGUUUUGCUGUCACUUAUAGAUGGAUCCGCGCCGCAUUAGCUAGUUGGUAAGGUAACGGCUUACCAAGGCAACGAUGCGUAGCCGACCUGAGAGGGUGAUCGGCCACACUGGAACUGAGACACGGUCCAGACUCCUACGGGAGGCAGCAGCAGGGAAUCUUCCGCAAUGGGCGAAAGCCUGACGGAGCAACGCCGCGUGAGUGAUGGAGGUCUUCGGAUCGUAAAACUCUGUUAUUAGGGAAGAACAAAUGUGUAAGUAACUAUGCACGUCUUGACGGUACCUAAUCAGAAAGCCACGGCUAACUACGUG
rnacentral:rRNA from 1 species